rnacentral:rRNA from 1 species
UACGGAGGGUGCGAGCGUUGUCCGGAAUCACUGGGCGUAAAGGGCGCGUAGGCGGCUCAUGAAGGCUGUGGUGAAAGUCCGGGGCUCAACCUCGGAUCGGCCGUGGCGACUCGUGGGCUGGAGCACUGUAGAGGCGGGUGGAAUUCCGGGUGUAGCGGUGGAAUGCGUAGAGAUCCGGAAGAACACCAGUGGCGAAGGCGACUUACUGGACACAUAUUGACGCUGAGGUGCGAAAGCGUGGGGAGCAAACAGG